rnacentral:lncRNA from 1 species
CUGACUCACACAGAGGCAGCUUCCAGCCUUCCACAGUUCUUCCAAUUCGACACAGUUAUUUAUUUAUUUUUUUAAGGUCCAAACUCCUGUGCAGAGCAAGCAUCCAAAUGCUGUCAUCCUCUCAGCCCCAUGCUCUAGCUCAUUUUUCACACCACUGGAUUUAAUUUACUAUUAUCGUGCCUGGAAUGUGUUUGCAUCUGUAUUCUUGAGAGAUUGCUAUACAGCUCAUUUGAGGCCUCACAAGAUUAAAACUUGGUAAGAAAGUAGACACGGAAGUGUGUCUCUGUCCAGUUCCACCUAAACUGUGCUGGCAGAAACUUUGGCUCCUGCUGCUUAGCUCCUUCAGCGACCUGCGAGUCUGUCUCACGAAAAGAUACCGACCGCCAUCUUGAAUUUCUAAGCACUAAACACGAAGAGAUGUGAGUUUCUCAAAAGGUA